ACGGCGAGUGAAGCGGCAAGAGCUCAAAUUUGAAAGCUGGCCCCUUCGGGGUCCGCGUUGUAAUUUGCAGAGGAUGCUUCGGGAGCGGUCCCCAUCUAAGUGCCCUGGAACGGGCCGUCAUAGAGGGUGAGAAUCCCGUCUGGGAUGGGGUGCCCGCGCCCGUGUGAAGCUCCUUCGACGAGUCGAGUUGUUUGGGAAUGCAGCUCUAAAUGGGUGGUAAAUUUCAUCUAAAGCUAAAUACUGGCCGGAGACCGAUAGCGCACAAGUAGAGUGAUCGAAAGAUGAAAAGCACUUUGAAAAGAGAGUUAAACAGCACGUGAAAUUGUUGAAAGGGAAGCGCUUGCGACCAGACUCGCUCGCGGGGUUCAGCCGGCCUUCGGGCCGGUGUACUUCCCCGCGGGCGGGCCAGCGUCGGUUUGGGCGGCCGGUCAAAGGCCCUCGGAAUGUAACGCCCCCCGGGGCGUCUUAUAGCCGAGGGUGCCAUGCGGCCAGCCCGGACCGAGGAACGCGCUUCGGCUCGGACGCUGGCAUAAUGGUCGUAAGCGACCCGUCUUAAUCCCGGGACCAAAGAAUUUCUGCUUCGGGUGGUGCUUUGAUUAUUACCUUUAACACGCUUGGAGUUCUUUUAAUUU
rnacentral:rRNA from 1 species